rnacentral:tRNA from 1 species
UAAUAAGAAGCGAAAAAUUGCAACCAAUUUCGACUUGGUAUUUGAUAUAAUAUAUCCUUAUUAG